CUAAUCAGUUGUUGUAUUCGACUGUAUUCACAACGUGAAAUAGGGGAUUACACUAUUUUUUUAAAACGGAAAGUGAAUCAAUUAACAUAACAGACUCCU
rnacentral:pre_miRNA from 1 species